rnacentral:rRNA from 1 species
AGAUUGAACGCUGGCGGCGUGCCUAACACAUGCAAGUCGAGCGGUAACAGGUGUAGCAAUACAUGCUGACGAGCGGCGAACGGGUGAGUAAUGCUUUGGAAUCUUCCUAGUAGUGGGGAAUAACCAGUCGAAAGAUUGGCUAAUACCGCAUACGUCUGUAAAGGGAAAGCGGGGGCUCGUAAGACCUCGCGCUAUUGGAUGAGCCAAAGUCGGAUUAGCUAGUUGGUGGGGUAAUGGCCUACCAAGGCGACAAUCCGUAGCUGGUCUGAGAGGACGACCAGCCACACCGGAACUGAGACACGGUCCGGACUCCUACGGGAGGCAGCAGUGGGGAAUAUUGGACAAUGGGGGAAACCCUGAUCCAGCGACGCCGCGUGUGUGAAGAAGGCCUGCGGGUUGUAAAGCACUUUUAGUGGGGACAAAAGCUACGGAUUAAUACUCUGUGGUCUUGAUUUAACCCAAAGAAAAGCACCGGCUAACUCUGCGCCAGCAGCCGCGGUAA